rnacentral:lncRNA from 1 species
CUUGAGAUGAGGAGGAAUAAAUGGACUAAGAUUAGGAGUGCCAGGAGGCCAGAACUUGAAGACCAAAAGACAAAACUACAUGCUCAAGGCUGAAGAUGAUAAAAGGAGGCCUCCACCCCAACUGGUCUCAGCACAGGGGGCCCUCAGUUCAGACCCCCAUUAUCCUGACAUCAUUUAGAAGACAAACAAAUGCAGCCAAAGAACAAUGAGCUGUAAGGAUUCGACAGAAGAUAAAGAAAAUGAGUCUAAGGAGGGCCUAACUGACUUGACCGAGGUUACACAGGGAUCAGUAAAAUGUCACGGUAAGCAGUGAAAUGUUGAGUCUCUUGACAAAGCCUGCCUAUGCCACUCGUUAGAACAGAACUUUUAAUCUUGCAGAGCCUCAUUUUCUUCUUCUGUAGAAGGGAGAUGAUGAUACAAUCUGUCUCAUAUGGUCCUUGG